rnacentral:tRNA from 1 species
GCUUCAUAGCUCAUUUGGUUAGAGUACUGCACCAGCAUCGCAAAGGUCAUGGGUGCGAAUGCUAUUGAAAACA